rnacentral:rRNA from 1 species
GGACUACUGGGGUAUCUAAUCCCGUUCGCUCCCCCAGCUUUCGCGCCUCAGCGUCAAGUGUGCCCCAGGAGACCGCCUUCGCCACUGGUGUUCCUACCGAUCUCUACGCAUUUCACCGCUACACCGGUAAUUCCAUCUCCCCCUAGCACCUUCAAGAGUAUCAGUAUCCACCGACCCUCCGGAGUUGAGCUCCGGGCUUUCACAGCGGACUUAACACCCCGCCUACGCGCGCUUUACGCCCAGUAACUUCGGACAACGCUCGCCCCCUACGUAUUACCGCGGCUGCUGGCAC